rnacentral:rRNA from 1 species
GAUGAACGCUGGCGGCGUGCCUAAUACAUGCGAGUCGAGCGAACAGAUGAGGAGCUUGCUCCUCUGACGUUAGCGGCGGACGGGUGAGUAACACGUGGAUAACCUACCUAUAAGACUGGGAUAACUUCGGGAAACCGGAGCUAAUACCGGAUAAUAUAUUGAACCGCAUGGUUCAAUAGUGAAAGACGGUUUUGCUGUCACUUAUAGAUGGAUCCGCGCCGCAUUAGCUAGUUGGUAAGGUCACGGCUUACCAAGGCGACGAUGCGUAGCCGACCUGAGAGGGUGAUCGGCCACACUGGAACUGAGACACGGUCCAGACUCCUACGGGAGGCAGCAGUAGGGAAUCUUCAGCAAUGGGCGAAAGCCUGACGGAGCAACGCCGCGUGAGUGAUGAAGGUCUUCGGAUCGUAAAACUCUGUUAUUAGGGAAGAACAAAUGUGUAAGUAACUAUGCACGUCUUGACGGUACCUAAUCAGAAAGCCACGGCUAACUACGUG